rnacentral:rRNA from 1 species
UACGUAGGGUGCAAGCGUUGUCCGGAAUUAUUGGGCGUAAAGGGCUCGUAGGCGGUCCGUCACGUCGGGAGUGAAAACUUGGGGCUUAACCCCGAGCCUGCAGUGGAUACGGGCAGACUAGAGGUAGGUAGGGGAGAAUGGAAUUCCCGGUGUAGCGGUGAAAUGCGCAGAUAUCGGGAGGAACACCGGUGGCGAAGGCGGUUCUCUGGGCCUUACCUGACGCUGAGGAGCGAAAGCGUGGGGAGCGAACAGG